GCUCAGUAACACGUGGAUAACGUGCCCUUAAGUGGGGGAUAAUCUCGGGAAAUUGAGGAUAAUACCCCAUAGAUCAUGGCAUCUGGAAUGAGUCAUGGUUGAAAGUUCCGGCGCUUAAGGAUCGCUCUGCGGCCCAUCAGAUAGUAGUGGGUGUAACGUACCCCCUAGCCAGUUACGGGUAUGGGCCUUGAGAGAGGGAGCCCAGAGUUGGAUUCUGAGACACGAAUCCAGGCCCUACGGGGCGCAGCAGUCGCGAAAACUUCACAAUGGGCGAAAGCCCGAUGAGGGAAUUCCUAGUGCUAGCACAUUUGUGUUAGCUUUUCCUUAGCGUAGAUAACUAGGGGAAUAAGGGCUGGGUAAGACGGGUGCCAGCCGCCGCGGUAAUACCCGCAGCCCGAGUGGUGGUCGAUUUUAUUGAGUCUAAAACGUUCGUAGCCGGUCUGAUAAAUCCCUGGGUAAAUCGGGUGGCUUAACCAUCCGAAUACCGGGGAGACUGUCAGGCUUGGGAUCGGGAGAGGUAUGAGGUACUUCAGGGGUAGAAGUGAAAUUCUGUAAUCCUUGAGGGACCACCGAUGGCGAAGGCAUCUUACCAGAACGGCUUCGACAGUGAGGAACGAAAGCUGGGGGAGCGAACGGGAUUAGAUACCCCGGUAGUCCCAGCCGUAAACUAUGCGCGUUAGGUGUGCCUGUAACUACGAGUUACCGGGGUGCCGAAGUGAAAACGUGAAACGUGCCGCCUGGGAAGUACGGUCGCAAGGCUGAAACUUAAAGGAAUUGGCGGGGGAGCACCACAACGGGUGGAGCCUGCGGUUUAAUUGGACUCAACGCCGGGCAGCUCACCGGAUAGGACAGCGGAAUGAUAGCCGGGCGAAGACCUUGCUUGACCAGCUGAGAGGAGGUGCAUGGCCGUCGUCAGUUCGUACUGUGAAGCAUCCUGUUUAGUCAGGCAACGAGCGAGACCCACGCCAACAGUUGCUAGCAUGUUCUCCGGAAUGAUGAGGACACUGUUGGGACCGCCUCUGCUAAAGAGGAGGAAGGAAUGGGCAACGGUAGGUCAGCAUGCCCCGAAUUAUCCGGGCUACACGCGGGCUACAAUGGUCAGGACAAUGGGAAACGGCACUGAAAAGUGUAGUCAAUCUCCUAAACCUGUCCCAAGUUCGGAUUGUGGGCUGCAACUCGCCCACAUGAAGCUGGAAUCCGUAGUAAUCGCGUUUCAAAAUAGCGCGGUGAAUAAGUCCCUGCUCCUUGCACACACCGA
rnacentral:rRNA from 1 species